rnacentral:rRNA from 1 species
CCUACGGGAGGCAGCAGUGAGGAAUAUUGGUCAAUGGGCGCGAGCCUGAACCAGCCAAGUCGCGUGAGGGAGGACGGCCCUACGGGUUGUAAACCUCUUUUGCCGGGGAGCAACGGGCGUCACGUGUGGCGCCACUGAGAGUACCCGGAGAAAAAGCAUCGGCUAACUCCGUGCCAGCAGCCGCGGUAAUACGGAGGAUGCGAGCUUUAUCCGGAUUUAUUGGGUUAAAAGGGUGCGUAGGCGGAUUGUUAAGUCAGUGGUAAAAUUGAGGGGCUCAACCCCUCCCCGCCGUUGAAACUGGCGCUCUUGAGUGGAAGAGAGGUAUGCGGAAUGCGUGGUGUAGCGGUGAAAUGCAUAGAUAUCACGCAGAACCCCGAUUGCGAAGGCAGCAUGCCGGCGUACGACUGACGCUGAAGCACGAAAGCGUGGGGAUCGAACAGGAUUAGAUACCCCAGUAGUC